CUCCGGGCUGCCUGCUCGCCCGCGGCCCCCUCACAGCAGCCCCCGCUCCAGGACCCCGGGGGACGUCGAGAGACGGGCUCCGGCUGACGGGAGCCGGGAGCCCCUCGGUGGAGGGACGGAGAGGGGUUGAGGGGUGACCUGGGCUCGGUCGAGGAGGGUCCCCGCCGCCCCCCAGCCCACCCUAGCGCUCAGGGGAGCGAUGGCUCCCCCCGGGCAGCGCCAACCCCUCCCGGCCGCCCGCGGAGCCGCCGCCAACCGCCCGCAACCGCCGCCCGCCCGGCGCCUGCGCCCUGAGGCACCGCCGCCAACCGCCAUGAGGCGGCGGCUCGGCCUCUCGCAGUCUUGCGGGACACCCUCAGGCUCGGAGCCCCGCAGGAACGGGUGCUGAGUCCUCCUUUCUGGUCCCUGCCUCGGGGGCUUUGCGUUUUGUCUCGGUUUAGGCUUUGGAGAAACCGGCGGGGUGGGCGCGGAGAGCGCGGUCCGUGAGGGAACGCCGGGGGGAAGGCAGGGGAACGCUGAGGGGAGGAAAGGCUGCAAAGGAUGGUCUCUCCUCCCUUUCUGCCAUUUUUUUUUCCCCUGAGCACAUCUCCGCAGCACUGGAGGCAGGAGAUUGCUACACGCAGGAGCGAAACGCUUUUAGAGUGGAAAGUACAGGAAAAUUGAGACAUUCCUUAAAUCUCCAGCAAAAGUUCUGCCAAAACAAAACCCAAGAAAUGCUCCAAAUAAUUCAUUUCAAUCAGAGAAAUAGAUUUAAUGGCC